UACGUAGGGUGCAAGCGUUGUCCGGAAUUAUUGGGCGUAAAGAGCUCGUAGGCGGUUUGUCGCGUCUGCUGUGAAAACUCGGGGCUUAACCCCGGGCCUGCAGCCGAUACGGGCAAACUAGAAUUCGGUAGGGGAGACUGGAAUUCCUGGUGUAGCGGUGAAAUGCGCAGAUAUCAGGAGGAACACCGGUGGCGAAGGCGGGUCUCUGGGCCGAUAUUGACGCUGAGGAGCGAAAGCGUGGGGGAGCGAACAGG
rnacentral:rRNA from 1 species